rnacentral:misc_RNA from 1 species
UCAUGGUGCCCGGCCUGCGCGAUCACGUGCCCGAGCACUGGCAGACGUUGCUGCAGGCCAAGCUGCAGGCACAAGGACACAAGACCGCAUCGGUGCCACCGCUGGAGGCCGACAAGCUGAGUUGCGCGGCGCGCGUGGCGGCAUUGGACAAGGCGCUGGCCGCCAUCGCCGGCCCAGUGAUUCUCGUGGCGCAUAGCGCCGGCGUGAUGAUCACCGCGCAUUGGGCCAAGCGGCAUGCGCGUCAGAUCCAUGGCGCCCUGCUCGCCACGCCAGCCGAUCUGGAAAGGCCGCUGCCGG